rnacentral:rRNA from 1 species
GUAACAAGGUUUCCGUAGGUGAACCUGCGGAAGGAUCAUUACCUAGAGUUGUAGGCUUUGCCUGCUAUCUCUUACCCAUGUCUUUUGAGUACCUUCGUUUCCUCGGCGGGUUCGCCCGCCGAUUGGACAAUUUAAACCAUUUGCAGUUGCAAUCAGCGUCUGAAAAAACAUAAUAGUUACAACUUUCAACAACGGAUCUCUUGGUUCUGGCAUCGAUGAAGAACGCAGCGAAAUGCGAUAAGUAGUGUGAAUUGCAGAAUUCAGUGAAUCAUCGAAUCUUUGAACGCACAUUGCGCCCCUUGGUAUUCCAUGGGGCAUGCCUGUUCGAGCGUCAUUUGUACCUUCAAGCUCUGCUUGGUGUUGGGUGUUUGUCUCGCCUCUGCGUGUAGACUCGCCUCAAAACAAUUGGCAGCCGGCGUAUUGAUUUCGGAGCGCAGUACAUCUCGCGCUUUGCACUCAGAACGACGACGUCCAAAAGUACAUUUUUACACUCUUGACCUCGGAUCAGGUA